ensembl:misc_RNA Metazoa_SRP Metazoan signal recognition particle RNA
GCUGGGCAUGGUGGUGCACACCUGGAGUCCCAGUUACUUGGGAGGCUGAGGCAGGAGGAUUGCCUGAGCCCAGGAGUUUGAAGGUGCAGUGAGCUAUGAUCACACCACUGCACUCCAGCCUGGGCAACAGAGCAAGACCCUGUCUCUA